GGUGCUGACUGUAAUCAACUAGAAGAAAAUUCUAGUUGUUUUAGAGUUUAUGUCUUAGAGUAGUUUUAGGUUUAUAGGAAAAAAGAUAUGCAGAAAGUACAGCAUGCUUCAGUGGCACUCUACCCAGUCCACAUGUUUCUUUAAACACCAGGCUGUCAUAUCUAAGCCCCAUCUCUGCUGCACAGGAGAUUUUGAAUGCAUUUUAAAAAAUUGAAUCAGGUUACUAACUACUGGUGAUUUCUGCCAGCAUGUGGUCCUAAAUUACCCCAAAUGACAAUCUGAGAAAGGAUUUAUUUCCCAGAAACCUUGGAAGGAAUUUUUUAUUAUGUGUUUAUUUAUUUAUUCGGUACUGGAGAUUUAACUCAGGAGCCUUUUACCACUGAGCUACAUCCUCAACCUUUUUUUAAUUUUUAAUUUAUUUAUUUUUAAAAUUUUGAGACACAGUCUCACUGAGUUGCUUAGGGUCGCAAUAAAUUGCUGAAGCUGAUCUUAAACUUGUGAUCCUCCUGUCUCAGCCUCCCAGCCGCUGGGAUUACAGGCUUGUGCCACCAUGUCCAGCUGGAAGGAAGUUUUGCUAAUCAAUUACACUACUUUUAACUGACAGUGAGAGAUUUAGGCACUUGCUGUGGGCCAGACAUCAAGCAAGAAGCUUCCUGGACAUCUUGGACUUUAUAGGAUUUUUUUAAUUCUCACAUUUGAUGGAAUAGGUAUUCACGUCCUCAUUUAAUGCUCAAGAAAACCUGGACUCCAGGAAGAUAGGAUAUUGUCUCAAACCACAGAACCCAGGGCCACAACUCCUGACCUAAAGCUACAUCAGUCCAGCACGGCAUUCACAGGCCCCACUGAGCACUGAGAUAUGGGCCAGUCUGCAUUGAGAGAUGCAGCCAGUGUAGAAUACACACUCAGAUUAGAAAAAGGAAGAAAAUAAAAUGUCUCAUCAGAAAUUGUUUCGUAUUGAGUAUAUGUGGAAAGGGCCAUAGUGGCUUACAUAGAAUAUAUUAUCAAAAUUAAUUCUGCUCAUUUCUUUCUACUUUUUAAAAUGUGGUUACGAGG
rnacentral:lncRNA from 1 species